AUGUUGCUUACUUUCUCACUGGACAAAAGAGAAGAAAGGAACAUACUAAAAGCUCACUUUCAAGCAAUCCCUAAAAUCAUGUGUGGUGGUCAUUAUAUAUCCUGGAAUGGAACUCUGAGCUCUCCUUAUUACCCGAGUUACUACCCUCCAAAUAUUGACUGCAGCUGGAUCAUCCGAGUAAGUGCUGGGAACUAUUCUGAGUUGUGGUGACUUUGCUUUAUGCGAUAUAAGCAUAAAACUGCCCGAAAUGUCUUUUAAUGCGGG
rnacentral:lncRNA from 1 species